rnacentral:rRNA from 1 species
CUACGUGCCAGCAGCCGCGGUAAUACGUAGGGCGCGAGCGUUGUCCGGAAUUAUUGGGCGUAAAGAGCUUGUAGGCGGUUGGUCGCGUCUGCUGUGAAAGGCUGGGGCUUAACCCUGGUUUUGCAGUGGGUACGGGCUAACUAGAGUGCAGUAGGGGAGACUGGAAUUCCUGGUGUAGCGGUGGAAUGCGCAGAUAUCAGGAGGAACACCGAUGGCGAAGGCAGGUCUCUGGGCUGUAACUGACGCUGAGAAGCGAAAGCAUGGGGAGCGAACAGGAUUAGAUACCCUGGUAGUCCACGCCCUAAACGAUGUCAAUUAGCUGUUGGGCAACUUGAUUGCUUAGUAGCGUAGCUAACGCGUGAAAUUGACCGCCUGGGGAGUACGGUCGCAAGAUUAAAACUCAAAGGAAUUGACGGGGACCCGCACAAGCGGUGGAUGAUGUGGAUUAAUUCGAUGCAACGCGAAGAACCUUACCUGGUCUUGACAU